rnacentral:rRNA from 1 species
UACAGAGGUCUCAAGCGUUGUUCGGAUUCAUUGGGCGUAAAGGGUGCGUAGGCGGGCGCGGUAAGUCGGGUGUGAAAUCUCGGGGCUUAACUCCGAAACUGCAUUCGAUACUACCGUGCUUGAGGACUGGAGAGGAGACUGGAAUUUACGGUGUAGCGGUGAAAUGCGUAGAUAUCGUAAGGAAGACCAGUGGCGAAGGCGGGUCUCUGGACAGUUCCUGACGCUGAGGCAACGAAGGCCAGGGGAGCAAACGGG